rnacentral:sRNA from 1 species
GCAGUAUGUAGGCCGGUUUGAUGCGGUCGA